rnacentral:tRNA from 2 species
GGGCCUGUAGCUCAGUUGGGAGAGCGUUCGGUUCGCAUCCGAGAGGUCGAGAGUUCGAGUCUCUUCAGGUCCACCA